GCACGGCUGUUGAGCAAACUGGCAAAGGAAGUCUGUGAGAUAUGCCUGGAGGGAAGAAUAAGAGUGGUGUUACUGAGGGACCCCAGGAUCACUCACCUACAGCAAUGUCAUAAAAGAGGACCCUGAGAGUUCCUCUAAGGUGGCCUGCAGUCCCCAGUGGGAGAGAAUCAAGGACGGACAAACCUUCCCAGUAAGUGUGAAUGGAAGAACCAACUUCCAAGAAGUAAGGGUAAGACAGCUUGUCCCCUGGUUGCUCCCCAUCCCCAACUUCAGAGAUUUCACAAGGCAGACCUAAGAGUGUCAGCCACAGAGUAGCUCUAGCUCAAUAUAUAUUUUUUUCUUUCUAAACCAAUGAGUCAAUAAAUCAAAUUGACAAUUUGUAACUUGAUCUGCCAGGUAAAAGUCUCCUGGGAGUAAGGGCCUGGUGCACCUUGACUCCACUCUGCAGGAGUGGCCUGGCGUGCGGCAUUGGCCUCCAUGACGUUGGAGAGCUCGUUGAUAAUCAGCUUUAGGAUCUUGACCAGCAAAGGAAUAUUUGUCCAGCGCUCUGGAUCUGGGAAGGAAGGAAAAGGCUUCAAGUCAGACUGUUACUGGCUCACUUCUAGCAACGCCUCCAUGCUCCCUAUAGUGCCAUUCAACACAGAGUUCACCAACACUCAACAUCACUUUCUACCAUCCCUAACUAUAUUGAGCCAUCAAAGAAUGACUUAAAUAACUUUA